CCAGACUCCUACGGGAGGCAGCAGUGGGGGAUAUUGCACAAUGGGGGGAACCCUGAUGCAGCGACGCCGCGUGAGGGAAGACGGCCUUCGGGUUGUAAACCUCUGUCGCAGGGGACGAAGGAGAUGACGGUACCCUGUGAGGAGGCCACGGCUAACUACGUGCCAGCAGCCGCGGUAAUACGUAGGGAGCGAGCGUUGUCCGGAAUUACUGGGUGUAAAGGGAGCGUAGGCGGGACUGCAAGUUGGGUGUCAAAUCUACCGGCUCAACCGGUAGCCGCACUCAAAACUGCAGUUCUUGAGUGAAGUAGAGGCAGGCGGAAUUCCUAGUGUAGCGGUGAAAUGCGUAGAUAUUAGGAGGAACACCAGUGGCGAAGGCGGCCUGCUGGGCUUUUACUGACGCUGAGGCUCGAAAGUGUGGGGAGCAAACAGGAUUAGAUACCCCUGUA
rnacentral:rRNA from 1 species